rnacentral:rRNA from 1 species
CAGCAGCCACGGUAAUACAGAGGGUGCGAGCGUUAAUCGGAUUUACUGGGCGUAAAGCGUGCGUAGGCGGUUUUGUAAGACAGGCGUGAAAUCCCCGGGCUCAACCUGGGAAUGGCGCUUGUGACUGCAAAGCUAGAGUGCGGCAGAGGGGGAUGGAAUUCCGCGUGUAGCAGUGAAAUGCGUAGAUGUGCGGAGGAACACCGAUGGCGAAGGCAAUCCCCUGGGCCUGCACUGACGCUCAUGCACGAAAGCGUGGGGAGCAAACAGGAUUAGAUACCCCGGUAGUCCCUGUCUCUUAUAC